GCCAAAGUAGCUCAGUCGGUAGAGCGCCAGGGGCAUAUCCUGGAGGUCAGUGGUUCGAGUCCACUCUGCGGCG
rnacentral:tRNA from 1 species